GAUGGGGGGGGUGCAUUUGGAGGCUGCUGUGUUGUUUCAGUUGUUACUGUGGGUGUGAUUGUGUCCUGUGUCCCUUCUUUUGCCUUGUAGGUAAUAUCAGUACUUGCUGUGGCAGCGGGAACAGCAUUAUUUGUCACGGACGAGGGCUCAGCAGUUUGGGCAGCUGUGACUUACCAGUCACCUGGGGGCGUGUUGCUGAGCAUUGAGAAGGGAAAAGAAGGCUCACACCAGCUUAGGUC